UUGCCGUCAUCAAGCGCGAACGCGCACGUCUAAUCCUAGUUCGCAUCACGGACGCGCCUCAGUUUCGACGGCAACUUUAAAGUACACGAAAUAACACAACUUUGGACAGCAGGUUCUGCUAUGGAGUGAAGUAAAGGAAGUGCAUAAAACUAAAAUAAAAAAAAUAAAAAAACUCGGUUAGAACAACAUGAAAGAUGUCGGCAAUGGAUUGGGCAUAAUUACUGGAAUCAAAUGAUCCAGGGCUCAAAUACUAGAAGUGGAUAUGGACAAUCUAACGCCCUGCAAUAUUUAAUUGAUUCCCACCAUCCCAACACCUGGAAUGGCCAGUGAUGAGUCCAAUUCUGAUCAGCAGCAUGGGCAGUCCAUAACUAAUGACAAAGUGAGGAGACAACUGAGGACACUACACACAGGAAAAGCUGCAGGAUCAGAUGGUGUCAGUCUUCGAGUUUUUAAGGCUAGUGCUGACCCGCAUUGUGGCAUUGUCUGGUUUCUGCUCAGUCUGUCACUAGGGGUGCAAAAAGCGCUGGAAAUUCCCUGCAUUGUUCCUGUUCCAAAGAAGGCAGGCGCCUCUUCACCUGAUGACUAUAGACCAGUGGCACUGACGUCUCAGAUCAUGAGGACCUUUGAGAGGCUGGUCAAGGAUUAUACGAGUCCACUUAUGGUAGACCACCUGGACCAAGAUUGGAGAGGAGGGUGCAAUUAUCUAAGUAAUCUAUCGGCUCCACGAGGUUUAUUCUCUGCUGGACAAGGCUGGCAGCACUGUGACAAGUAUGUUUUUCUGAAUUCUCUAGUGCCUUCAAUACCAUCCCUGUUAGGGGUAAGCUCAGAGAUAUGCUGUUGGAAUACCUUAUUGGACAUUGAACUCGAUUGCCAGUUGCCUGGAUAAUUUGAACAGACCAGAGUUUGUGAGACCAAGAACAAUCCUGUCACCUUUUCUCUUUACACCUCAGACUAUAACUACACCAGUUCAUGACACUUGAAGAAAUUCUCUUGAUGAUUCUGCACUUAUGUGGUGCAUCUAUAAUAUAUGAGUCAGGUGGAGAACUUUGAUAAUUGGUGCAGAAGGAAUUGUCUGCAACUAAACGUAUCAGUAAAACCAAGGAUUUGUGCUGCAGUCAGUUUACCUUAGAUGUUGGACCUGGGAACGUCACACCUGAGUGGAUCACAUUCCAGUAAAAUCAAUAUAGACGUGUCCAAGAAAAUCUUUGAUCUGCUUGCUCCAUCACAUGAACAAACUUAGACUUGCUAGACCAGCCCAGAGUUUCAGUGUUGGAAAUCCGACAUAAGAGGACGUUCUGGUUGAAAAUUUUAACUUCUCGCUUCAAAUGAAACACAGCAUUAGUUAUUGACGUUCACUGUACCAAAGAGCCUCCACACCCAGUCACUAUUAAAGGAGAGGAAGUGGUGCAUUGCUACAGAUUCAUGGGGGUCCACGUCAACAACAGGCUCAACUGGUCUCAUAACACACAGGAACAACAGAAGAAAAAUAAAAGCAGGCUUUUACGAGACUGUGUUCCUUUAAUGUAGGAAAUGAAAUCAUUCCCAUCUUGUAUAACACUGCGUUGGCCAGCUUAUUUUUUUGUUUUUUUAAACACUAUAGUGUACUGGACUGGUAACAUCAAUUCACAAGAGGCCCAACCAUAUCAAACUAUUUAAAAGGGCAGGUUUGGGAAGAUGUGCUGGUACAGUGCAUUGCCACACCACCAUACCAUGAAGCAGCUCAGGAUCUCAGCAGCGCAAACCCUCAUCACCCCAGUCACACCCUCCGGAAAUGACCAUCUAUGUACCACAGGCAGGGUUUAUGUGGACGUCCCUUGGCCUGGUCAUCAACAAUAAGGAUCCUGCGUGCAGAACUAGACUGGUGGAAAUCGCACCACAAGGCCAUAUAGUGGUGUAUCCUAUGCCCCCUUAAUACAGGUAAUGUGCCUCAUUCAGGACACAAAGUCAAACCAGUGGUACACAAUGAUUCUCUGAAGAGACACAGUACUGAAGUAGUCCAGUCUUCAGGUCAUUGCUUAGCAUCUACAUCUCACGACCAUAUAGCAAUGACAGGAAGCACCAGGACAGAAGAAUUUAAACUAUGGCUACUAAGAAGGAUAAAUUACCCAAUGAAAAAGUCCUGGAAAGGAUUGGUGAAAAGCAGAACACUUGAAACAGUGAGAAGUGGAUGGGAUGUGGACUGAGAGGAGGCAAAUUGAUGAGAAUUGUGCUGGGGGGGUAAACGGAUAGAAAAAAAGGGAAAGAAAUCAAGGGGAAUACCAUGUUCUAGUACAUAAAAGAUAGUAAAUCAUACCAAGAAAUGAAGAGGAGGAGGACAGACUAUUGUAGAGGGACUGGCAAUCAAAAGACCCACAUUAUGAUGCCAGAUAACUACCGCAGCAGCAGCUCAGUCACGAGGCACACAUUUGCCCCCCUGGAGGGGGAAGAGAAUGAAGACAAGAGUGCCUUUAUGAACAAUGCUGCACAUUCUCUCUGUGAUACACUAACACAGAGAACUUUCAACUAACAAAUUACUCAAUAGAACUUGACACAGGCUCCUUUAUCACAACAGAAAUCCACUUGCAUGAUGCUUCACUGUGAAUAGAACUGCCAAGUUAUAACAAUUUUGCUUCUGUAAAAAGCCAGAUUUCCUCCCUGCACAAAAAGUAACACCUACAGGACUUCUGCUUUACUUUGCCGUUGUAGCUUUUUUUUUUUUUUUUGGAAGGAAAGCCAAUUUUAGUUCCUGUAAGUGAAGCCCUGACUAUCUACCCCAAGCGAAUCGCUUCCAUCACCGUUCCCCAUAAUUCAACUGGCUACUUCUGCUCAGGAGAUUAUAGUAAUUUUUUUUUUUUAAUAUUCUAUGCCAUAUACAGUACAUCCUUUUAGGGGUAAGGUAACUGGGCAUAGAACUGGUCCAUUUGUACAGUAAACUAGAGAAAGGUGACUAAAUGCACAUGCAGUAACUCAAUAUGCUGUAGCCUAACCUUAAUUCCUUCCAGCCUACCACAUAAAAUUCCAUAUCUACAGGAAACAAGCAGCACUUUCCCAAUAUUUAGAAAAUUAGUGCCUCAGUCUCCAUAACUUUUGGUCCUGUGCCUACAAGUAAAAAUCCUCAUUUUGUCCACCACAAAAGUGGACUAGACCUAUGAAAUGCAAGUCAACAACCUUCUUACCUUCUGUCAACCCUCCAGAACCCCAGCUGCCUCAAAAUCUCCAUUAUUUCAUUCUAAUCAAGUAAUCUAAUACAUUAAAAAAAUAUAUCUAACCUUGAAAAGCAUGGGACAGUAGCUGCAAAGAGACUAGAACUUGGUCUUAAGUAUCCAGCAGCCCAAAUAUCAAAGAAAAACUCACUUAUCGUAUAAGGCAGCCAACCGCUUGCUGCAGCUAAAGCAACAAUGUUAAAACAACCCAUGAGGAUGGUGAAGUGUGAAAAAUAAUGAAAUGGAGGUUAAGGGCCCUGCCUAGAAAACAGGUCAGUCACAACUUAAUUCAGAUUUUCUGGAACACUCACUGCACCAACAGUAUCACCGUGUUCAAGAUCCCCUUUAGUUUCUUGGGAAGAAGUCAAAUAUUCAUCCAAAAAAACAAAACCACCAAAUACUUUAUUAUUUUUUUUUUUAUAUACAACAGUGAAAAAUAAGACCAACAAAACAUGAAGACAGACAAAACAUGAAGACUGACAGGACUGCAAGAGGAUAUUACAGCAGA